UACGUAGGUGGCAAGCGUUGUCCGGAUUUACUGGGCGUAAAGAGCGCGCAGGCGGUCGUUCAAGUCGCGUGUGAAAGCCCCCGGCUCAACUGGGGAGGGUCACGCGAUACUGAUCGACUCGAAGGCAGGAGAGGGUAGUGGAAUUCUCGGUGUAGUGGUGAAAUGCGUAGAUAUCGGGAGGAACACCAGUGGCGAAGGCGACUACCUGGCCUGUUCUUGACGCUGAGGCGCGAAAGCUAGGGGAGCAAACGGG
rnacentral:rRNA from 1 species